rnacentral:tRNA from 1 species
GCCGAGGUGGCGAAAUUGGCAGACGCGUACGCUUGAGGUGCGUAUGGAGCAAUCCUUGCAGGUUCAAGUCCUGUCCUCGGCA